rnacentral:lncRNA from 1 species
AUGUGGUCAGAGUAAUGGGUGUCAUCAGUUCGGUUGCCUUUUCAUUUUCCUGAAGCUUGAAGACAGGAAUUUUCUUCACACGGGACUUCUGGGAAGUUAAGGGAAAGGUAACACUGGCAGGAGAAUCAUCUUUUUGUUGGUCACCAAAAUUUCAGAGAUAUGCCUUUUGAUAACGUUUCCUUAAUGAAUUUUCAUGGGAUGGCCUGAGAGACGGCCCUGUCAUCAGGAUACUCUGAAGAAGACAAGUCUGGAGAUAUCACCGAGAGCUGUGAACAGCGGUCAUGCCUGGAUGUUGCCAAUUGUUAGUGUGGAUAUCAAGGAAGGAUGAAGAGAACGCGUGGAGUGGAACGGAAAUUGUGUUCAAGUAGUGUGCUAGACAGGUGUCUGGAAGCCUGCGUCUUGGCACAAUGAAUUCGUUGUCUCCGUAAUAGGAGGAGCUUACUGACACUCCCUCUGUGUGGUAAAAAUACACCCAGCAAUUUGACAAC